UACAGAGGUCUCAAGCGUUGUUCGGAUUCAUUGGGCGUAAAGGGUGCGUAGGUGGCGGGGUAAGUCUAGUGUGAAAUCUCGGGGCUCAACCCCGGAACUGCAUCCGAUACUGCCAUGCUAGAGGAUUGGAGAGGUAGCUGGAAUUCUUGGUGUAGCAGUGAAAUGCGUAGAGAUCAAGAGGAACACUCGUGGCGAAAGCGAGCUACUGGACAAUUCCUGACGCUGAGGCUCGAAGGCUAGGGUAGCGAAAGGG
rnacentral:rRNA from 1 species